AUUGAACGCUGGCGGCAGGCCUAACACAUGCAAGUCGAACGGAGUGGCGGACGGGUGAGCAAUGACUGGGAAACUGCCUGAUGGAGGGGGUUCACUAACGGAAACGGUAGCUAAUUCCGCAUACUAUCACAUGGGCCUAGGUGGGUUUAGCUAGUUGGUGGGGUAAAGGCCUACCAAGGCGACGAUCCGUAACUGGGCUGAGAGGAUGAUCAGUCACACUGGAACUGAGACACGGUCCAGACUCCUACGGGAGGCAGCAGUGGGGAAUAUUGGACAAUGGGCGAAAGCCUGAUCCAGCCAUGCCGCGUGUGUGAAGAAGGUCUUCGGAUUGUAAAGCACUUUAAGUUGGGAGGCGUUACCAACAGAAUAAGCACCGGCUAACUUCGUGCCAGCAGCCGCGGUAAUUC
rnacentral:rRNA from 1 species